CAACUUUCAGCAACGGAUCUCUUGGCUCUCGCAUCGAUGAAGAACGCAGCGAAUUGCGAUAAGUAAUGUGAAUUGCAGAUUUCCAGUGAAUCAUCGAAUCUUUGAACGCACCUUGCGCUCCUUGGCAUUCCGAGGAGCAUGCCUGUUUGAGUGUCAUUG
rnacentral:rRNA from 1 species